UUAAGUUAUUAAGGGCGCACGGUGGAUGCCUUGGCACUAGAAGCCGAUGAAGGACGUUACUAACGACGAUAUGCUUUGGGGAGCUGUAAGUAAGCUUUGAUCCAGAGAUUUCCGAAUGGGGAAACCCAGCAUGAGUUAUGUCAUGUUAUCGAUAUGUGAAUACAUAGCAUAUCAGAAGGCACACCCGGAGAACUGAAACAUCUUAGUACCCGGAGGAAGAGAAAGAAAAUUCGAUUCCCUUAGUAGCGGCGAGCGAAACGGGAAGAGCCCAAACCAACAAGCUUGCUUGUUGGGGUUGUAGGACACUCUGUACGGAGUUACAAAGGACGACAUUAGACGAAUCAUCUGGAAAGAUGAAUCAAAGAAGGUAAUAAUCCUGUAGUCGAAAAUGUUGUCUCUCUUGAGUGGAUCCUGAGUACGACGGAGCACGUGAAAUUCCGUCGGAAUCUGGGAGGACCAUCUCCUAAGGCUAAAUACUCUCUAGUGACCGAUAGUGAACCAGUACCGUGAGGGAAAGGUGAAAAGCACCCCGGAAGGGGAGUGAAAUAGAACCUGAAACCGUGUGCUUACAAGUAGUCAGAGCCCGUUAAUGGGUGAUGGCGUGCCUUUUGUAGAAUGAACCGGCGAGUUACGAUUUGAUGCAAGGUUAAGCAGUAAAUGUGGAGCCGUAGCGAAAGCGAGUCUGAAUAGGGCGUUUAGUAUUUGGUCGUAGACCCGAAACCAGGUGAUCUACCCUUGGUCAGGUUGAAGUUCAGGUAACACUGAAUGGAGGACCGAACCGACUUACGUUGAAAAGUGAGCGGAUGAACUGAGGGUAGCGGAGAAAUUCCAAUCGAACCUGGAGAUAGCUGGUUCUCUCCGAAAUAGCUUUAGGGCUAGCCUCAAGUGAUGAUUAUUGGAGGUAGAGCACUGUUUGGACGAGGGGCCCCUCUCGGGUUACCGAAUUCAGACAAACUCCGAAUGCCAAUUAAUUUAACUUGGGAGUCAGAACAUGGGUGAUAAGGUCCGUGUUCGAAAGGGAAACAGCCCAGACCACCAGCUAAGGUCCCAAAAUAUAUGUUAAGUGGAAAAGGAUGUGGCGUUGCCCAGACAACUAGGAUGUUGGCUUAGAAGCAGCCAUCAUUUAAAGAGUGCGUAAUAGCUCACUAGUCGAGUGACACUGCGCCGAAAAUGUACCGGGGCUAAACAUAUUACCGAAGCUGUGGAUUGUCCUUUGGACAAUGGUAGGAGAGCGUUCUAAGGGCGUUGAAGCAUGAUCGUAAGGACAUGUGGAGCGCUUAGAAGUGAGAAUGCCGGUGUGAGUAGCGAAAGACGGGUGAGAAUCCCGUCCACCGAUUGACUAAGGUUUCCAGAGGAAGGCUCGUCCGCUCUGGGUUAGUCGGGUCCUAAGCUGAGGCCGACAGGCGUAGGCGAUGGAUAACAGGUUGAUAUUCCUGUACCACCUAUAAUCGUUUUAAUCGAUGGGGGGACGCAGUAGGAUAGGCGAAGCGUGCGAUUGGAUUGCACGUCUAAGCAGUAAGGCUGAGUAUUAGGCAAAUCCGGUACUCGUUAAGGCUGAGCUGUGAUGGGGAGAAGACAUUGGGUCUUCGAGUCGUUGAUUUCACACUGCCGAGAAAAGCCUCUAGAUAGAAAAUAGGUGCCCGUACCGCAAACCGACACAGGUAGUCAAGAUGAGAAUUCUAAGGUGAGCGAGCGAACUCUCGUUAAGGAACUCGGCAAAAUGACCCCGUAACUUCGGGAGAAGGGGUGCUCUUUAGGGUUAACGCCCAGAAGAGCCGCAGUGAAUAGGCCCAAGCGACUGUUUAUCAAAAACACAGGUCUCUGCUAAACCGUAAGGUGAUGUAUAGGGGCUGACGCCUGCCCGGUGCUGGAAGGUUAAGAGGAGUGGUUAGCUUCUGCGAAGCUACGAAUCGAAGCCCCAGUAAACGGCGGCCGUAACUAUAACGGUCCUAAGGUAGCGAAAUUCCUUGUCGGGUAAGUUCCGACCCGCACGAAAGGCGUAACGAUUUGGGCACUGUCUCAACGAGAGACUCGGUGAAAUCAUAGUACCUGUGAAGAUGCAGGUUACCCGCGACAGGACGGAAAGACCCCGUGGAGCUUUACUGUAGCCUGAUAUUGAAAUUCGGCACAGCUUGUACAGGAUAGGUAGGAGCCUUUGAAACGUGAGCGCUAGCUUACGUGGAGGCGCUGGUGGGAUACUACCCUAGCUGUGUUGGCUUUCUAACCCGCACCACUUAUCGUGGUGGGAGACAGUGUCAGGCGGGCAGUUUGACUGGGGCGGUCGCCUCCUAAAAGGUAACGGAGGCGCUCAAAGGUUCCCUCAGAAUGGUUGGAAAUCAUUCAUAGAGUGUAAAGGCAUAAGGGAGCUUGACUGCGAGACCUACAAGUCGAGCAGGGUCGAAAGACGGACUUAGUGAUCCGGUGGUUCCGCAUGGAAGGGCCAUCGCUCAACGGAUAAAAGCUACCCCGGGGAUAACAGGCUUAUCUCCCCCAAGAGUUCACAUCGACGGGGAGGUUUGGCACCUCGAUGUCGGCUCAUCGCAUCCUGGGGCUGUAGUCGGUCCCAAGGGUUGGGCUGUUCGCCCAUUAAAGCGGUACGCGAGCUGGGUUCAGAACGUCGUGAGACAGUUCGGUCCCUAUCCGUCGUGGGCGUAGGAAAUUUGAGAGGAGCUGUCCUUAGUACGAGAGGACCGGGAUGGACAUACCUCUGGUGUACCAGUUGUCGUGCCAACGGCAUAGCUGGGUAGCUAUGUGUGGACGGGAUAAGUGCUGAAAGCAUCUAAGCAUGAAGCCCCCCUCAAGAUGAGAUUUCCCAACUUCGGUUAUAAGAUCCCUCAAAGAUGAUGAGGUUAAUAGGUUCGAGGUGGAAGCAUGGUGACAUGUGGAGCUGACGAAUACUAAUCGAUCGAAGACUUAAUCAA
rnacentral:rRNA from 1 species